rnacentral:rRNA from 1 species
UAGGGAGGCAGCAGUGGGGAAUAUUGCACAAUGGGCGCAAGCCUGAUGCAGCCAUGCCGCGUGUAUGAAGAAGGCCUUCGGGUUGUAAAGUACUUUCAGCAGUGAGGAAGUGGAUAUGUUAAUAGCAUAUUCAUUUGACGUUAGCUGCAGAAGAAGCACCGGCUAACUCCGUGCCAGCAGCCGCGGUAAUACGGAGGGUGCGAGCGUUAAUCGGAAUUACUGGGCGUAAAGCGCAUGCAGGUGGUUUGUUAAGUCAGAUGUGAAAGCCCGGGGCUCAACCUCGGAAUUGCAUUUGAAACUGGCAAACUAGAGUACUGUAGAGGGGGUAGAAUUUCAGGUGUAGCGGUGAAAUGCGUAGAGAUCUGAAGGAAUACCGGUGGCGAAGGCGGCCCCCUCGGACAGAUACUGACACUCAGAUGCGAAAGCGUGGGGAGCAAACAGGAUUAGAUACCCGGGUAG